rnacentral:pre_miRNA from 1 species
GUCUUACUCCCUCCGUCCCAUAUUAAGUGACUUUCUAUAUAUGUAUCUAGACGCUUUUUAGGGAUACAUCCAUAUUUGCACAAAUUUGAGUCACUUAAUAUGAGACGGAGGGAGUAUAAU